rnacentral:rRNA from 1 species
GACGAACGCUGGCGGCGUGCCUAAUACAUGCAAGUAGAACGCUGAAGGAGGAGCUUGCUUCUCUGGAUGAGUUGCGAACGGGUGAGUAACGCGUAGGUAACCUGCCUGGUAGCGGGGGAUAACUAUUGGAAACGAUAGCUAAUACCGCAUAAGAGUAGAUGUUGCAUGACAUUUGCUUAAAAGGUGCAAUUGCAUCACUACCAGAUGGACCUGCGUUGUAUUAGCUAGUUGGUGGGGUAACGGCUCACCAAGGCGACGAUACAUAGCCGACCUGAGAGGGUGAUCGGCCACACUGGGACUGAGACACGGCCCAGACUCCUACGGGAGGCAGCAGUAGGGAAUCUUCGGCAAUGGACGGAAGUCUGACCGAGCAACGCCGCGUGAGUGAAGAAGGUUUUCGGAUCAUAAAGCUCUGUUGUAAGAGAAGAACGAGUGUGAGAGUGGAAAGUUCACACUGUGACGGUAUCUUACCAGAAAGGGACGGCUAACUACGUG